AUGAGCUGUUUGAGUUGGAACUGCCAGGGGCUUGGGAACCCCGAGGCAGUUCGUGAACUUCGUAGUAUUGUGAAGUUGGAAGGACCCACUCUUCUCUUUGUAAUGGAAACAAAAAUUAGAGCGAAAAGAGUUGAGGAUUUGAAGCAUACGCUAGGUUUUAGUGGAUGUUUUGCUAUAGACAGUGUCGGCCUUAGUGGUGGCAUUGGUCUUUUUUGGUCUUAG
rnacentral:rRNA from 1 species